rnacentral:sRNA from 1 species
UUUGUGUCGCGUGAAGGAUGGCAGUGGAAAUCCUUUUAUAGCAUGGAGCGAUAGCAGAAUGAUAAAAAAGAUUGCAACGAACAGCCUGACCUCGU